rnacentral:rRNA from 1 species
CCUACGGGCGGCAGCAGUGGGGAAUAUUGGACAAUGGGCGAAAGCCUGAUCCGGCCAUGCCGCGUGUGUGAAGAAGGCCUUCGGGUUGUAAAGCACUUUCAGUGGGGAAGAAAGCCUUGGGGCUAAUACCCUCGAGGAAGGACAUCACCCACAGAAGAAGCACCGGCUAACUCCGUGCCAGCAGCCGCGGUAAUACGGAGGGUGCGAGCGUUAAUCGGAAUUACUGGGCGUAAAGCGCGCGUAGGCGGUCUGAUAAGCCGGUUGUGAAAGCCCCGGGCUCAACCUGGGAACGGCAUCCGGAACUGUCAGGCUAGAGUGCAGGAGAGGAAGGUAGAAUUCCCGGUGUAGCGGUGAAAUGCGUAGAGAUCGGGAGGAAUACCAGUGGCGAAGGCGGUCUUCUGGACUGACACUGACGCUGAGGUGCGAAAGCGUGGGUAGCAAACAGGAUUAGAUACCCUGGUAGUC